rnacentral:sRNA from 2 species
GCUACGGUCGCCUGGAGAUUUGCAGAUCGUCUCCACCCGUGACCACGGAUGUACUGGCACUGGGACGUCGAGACGCUAGAGAAAGGUCGGGGUUUGCCCGGCCUUUUUUGCU